rnacentral:lncRNA from 1 species
CCGAGGUAGCAAGUAUCUACUUUUUGUCAGGAGAAGAGGCAUCAUGGGAAGAAGGCUAUCCUUUGGUAGGUGGGAGAAGCCAUCUUUUUAGCAUGCAUGUGAAGUAUACAACAAUGGCUCUGUACAGAAGUCUAGAUUCUGUUGACCAGCAUUCCUGCAAGACAGUACCAGAUAGUGCUGGAAAAGAUGGACAAAUGAGUCUUAAGAAAUGUUGUGAAGUUGCCUAUCCAGUACUGAGGUGAAAUAACAAUACAGAUAAUGUCACUCAACUCCUUCACCUUAAAAACAUAAGCCUCUCAGCCACCUACAAAUGGAAUAACCCAUCAUUCAUUAUUCUAUCACACUUCACCAGGUUUGCUCUUAAUGUGAUAGGAUUCCUUGCCUUCAAGUA